CAAAAGGAGUUUUUAGACUCCAUAUAUAAAAAACUGAGUUCUUCAU
rfam:Corchorus capsularis cultivar CVL-1 contig12622, whole genome shotgun sequence.